rnacentral:tRNA from 3 species
GCCCCGGUCGUCUAGUGGCCCAGGAUGGCGGCCUGUCGAGCCGCAGAACCCGGGUUCGAAUCCCGGCCGGGGCGCCA